rnacentral:rRNA from 1 species
UACGAAGGGGGCUAGCGUUGUUCGGAAUUACUGGGCGUAAAGCGCACGUAGGCGGGUCUUUAAGUCAGGGGGGAAAUCCUGGAGCUCAACUCCAGAACUGCCUUUGAUACUGAAGAUCUUGAGUUCGGGAGAGGUGAGUGGAACUGCGAGUGUAGAGGUGAAAUUCGUAGAUAUUCGCAAGAACACCAGUGGCGAAGGCGGCUCACUGGCCCGAUACUGACGCUGAGGUGCGAAAGCGUGGGGAGCAAACAGG